rnacentral:rRNA from 1 species
AGAGUUUGAUCAUGGCUCAGAUUGAACGCUGGCGGCAUGCCUAACACAUGCAAGUCGAACGGAAACGAUGCUAGCUUGCUAGCAGGCGUCGAGUGGCGGACGGGGGAGUAAUGCAUAGGAAUCUACCUAAUAGUGGGGGGCAACCUGGGGAAAACCAGGCUAAUACCGCAUAAUCCCUACGGGGGCAAAGCAGGGGACCUCGGGCCUUGCGCUAAUAGAUGAGCCUAUGUCGGAUUAGCUAGUUGGUGAGGUAAUGGCUCACCAAGGCGACGAUCCGUAGCUGGUUUGAGAGGAUGAUCAGCCACACUGGGACUGAGACACGGCCCAGACUCCUACGGGAGGCAGCAGUGGGGAAUAUUGCACAAUGGACGAAAGUCUGAUGCAGCAAUGCCGCGUGUGUGAAGAAGGCCUUAGGGUUGUAAAGCACUUUCAGUAGGGAGGAAAAGUAAGCAGUUAUUAACAUAACUGCUCGCCCUGACGUUAACGUCAGAAGAAGGACCGGCUAACUCCGUGCCAGCAGCCGCGGUAAUACGGAGGGUCCGAGCGUUAAUCGGAAUUACUGGGCGUAAAGCGCGCGUAGGCGGAUAUUUAAGUCAGAUGUGAAAUCCCUGGGCUCAACCUAGGAACUGCAUUUGAUACUGGAUAUCUAGAGUAUGGUAGAGGUGAGUGGAAUUUCAGGUGUAGCGGUGAAAUGCGUAGAGAUCUGAAGGAACAUCAGUGGCGAAGGCGACUCACUGGGCCAUUACUGACGCUGAGGUGCGAAAGCGUGGGUAGCAAACAGGAUUAGAUACCCUGGUAGUCCACGCCCUAAACGAUGUCAACUAGGUGUAUGGGGGUUUAUCCCUUGUGUAUCGAAGCUAACGCGAUAAGUUGACCGCCUGGGGAGUACGGUCGCAAGACUAAAACUCAAAUGAAUUGACGGGGGCCCGCACAAGCGGUGGAGCAUGUGGUUUAAUUCGAUGCAACGCGAAGAACCUUACCAGGUCUUGACAUGUACGGAAGUUUCCAGAGACGGAAAUGUGCCUUCGGGAGCCGUAACACAGGUGCUGCAUGGCUGUCGUCAGCUCGUGUCGUGAAGAUGUUGGGUUAAGUCCGGCAACGAGCGCAACCCCUAUCGUUAGUUAAGCACAUGGUGGUGGGAACUCUAGGGAGACUGCCGGUGAUAAACCGGAGGAAGGUGGGGACGACGUCAAGUCAUCAUGGCCCUUAUGGGUAGGGCUACACACGUGCUACAAUGGUCGGUACAGAGGGCUGCAAACUCGCGAGAGUAAGCUAAUCUCAGAAAGCCGAUCUUAGUCCGGAUUGGAGUCUGCAACUCGACUCCAUGAAGUUGGAAUCGCUAGUAAUCGCGGAUCAGAAUGCCGCGGUGAAUACGUUCCCGGGCCUUGUACACACCGCCCGUCACACCAUGGGAGUGGGUUGCAAAAGAAGUGGGUAGACUAACCUUCGGGAGGUCGCUCACCACUUUGUGAUUCAUGACUGGGGUGAAGUCGUAACAAGGUAACC